rnacentral:tRNA from 1 species
GUUUCUGUAGUGUAGUGGUCACCACGUUUGCUUAGCAUGCGAAAGGUCCUUGGUUCGAAACUGAGCAGAAACA